rnacentral:rRNA from 1 species
CCUACGGGAGGCAGCAGUAGGGAAUAUUGCUCAAUGGGGGAAACCCUGAAGCAGCAACGCCGCGUGGAGGAUGAAGGUUUUAGGAUUGUAAACUCCUUUUGUUAGAGAAGAUAAUGACGGUAUCUAACGAAUAAGCACCGGCUAACUCCGUGCCAGCAGCCGCGGUAAUACGGAGGGUGCAAGCGUUACUCGGAAUCACUGGGCGUAAAGAGUGCGCAGGCGGGCUUGGAAGUCAGAUGUGAAAUCCUUUGGCUUAACUACAGAACUGCAUUUGAAACUAUGAGUCUAGAGUGUGGGAGAGGUAGGUGGAAUUCUUGGUGUAGGGGUAAAAGCCGUAGAUAUCAAGAGGAAUACUCAUUGCGAAGGCGACCUACUGGAACAUUACUGACGCUCAUGCGCGAAAGCGUGGGGAGCAAACAGGAUUAGAUACCCUAGUAGUC